UACGGGGGGGGCAAGCGUUGUUCGGAAUUACUGGGCGUAAAGGGCUCGUAGGUGGCCAACUAAGUCAGACGUGAAAUCCCUCGGCUUAACCGGGGAACUGCGUCUGAUACUGGACGGCUUGAGUUUGGGAGAGGGAUGCGGAAUUCCAGGUGUAGCGGUGAAAUGCGUAGAUAUCUGGAGGAACACCGGUGGCGAAGGCGGCAUCCUGGACCAACACUGACACUGAGGAGCGAAAGCCAGGGAGCAAAGCGGG
rnacentral:rRNA from 1 species